CUAACAUAGGUUUUCUAGGUAUUCAAAUAUUUACCAAGUACCUUUACUGAACAGGCCUAAUUUUAUUCUGCAGAUAUUCUAAACCAGAUAGACAAGGCCACUGUCUUCACAGAACUUAUCAUGGAGGCUAAAGCUAAGUUAACAAGAACCUGUGUGUAUUAGGAAGGGAGAAAUAGUGUGCUGGGAAACUCAGGAGGAACACUUAAACCAGAGAGGAGUUCCCAGAGUGAGCUUCCUGGAGGAAGUGACCUGACAUAAAAAUGAAAUUUAAAAGACAGGAGGACUAGCCAGAAAAGCAAAAUGAGGAGGCAAGUUUAUAAGCAGAGAGUAUAGCAAUGUGUAGAAGGCAAGAGGCAGAGAGCAAGAACCUAGUACUUUCAAGAACUGAAAUUCCAUCAGACCUGAGAGUGUCCAGUUGGAUGUAAGAAGUAGCAAGAGAUGACUUUAACAGAUGAGUAUAGAUCCUGCAGAGGCAUUUGGGACUUUAUCCCAAUAGCUGUGGGAUCUUAAAGGUUUUAAACAGCAGAAAUGUACUAGAUUGAUGUUUCUAAGAGCACGGUUGAGAGAUCUGGGGGUGAGGGCUGGCUGAGAGCAAAUGAAAUGACUUGUGGAAGAUGGUGAAAAGAAGACAAAUCAUGGAAACAUCAAAUAUGAAAAUCGGCAGAGGAAAACGAGACCACAGGAGCAGAAAACUUUUAAGUAAUUUACCCAUGACCUGACACACUGCCAAAAAGGUCAAGGAAAACAAAGCCUAAAAGUUUUCCAUUGGGUUUAGCAAUGAGGUAGUCUAUGGUAAGAUGAAGAAGCCCAUUAAUACUAGGAUCCAUUCUCCAAUGGUUGAUGUGAUAUGUUAGCAUUUUGGUUUCAUUUUGUAACCCUUUUUUUUUUUUUUUAAAGUAAUCUUUAUGCCCAAUGUGGGGCUUGAACUGAUGACCCCGAGAUCCCGCUAAACCAGCCAGGUUUUACUUAUUGAUUAACAAUAAGAUACCACACAUGCUGUUAUUUUGAAAUCAGCAGUACUGCCAAGAACAAAGAACCAAUGGGAAGAGAAGCCAUUUGUGCUCCAUUGUUUCUGAAUUUGGAAAAUAAGUUCUGAGAUCAAACAUCAUGUGCUCCAUUUGAGGGAUCAAGUGUGAAGAUUGUUGUUACAAAUUAGUAGGAAUACCUGGUAUUCAGAAUUUUGAAAAAUCACUGCUUGCACAAUAUAAUAAUAAAGUGACUAACAGCACAGCCGUAUGGAAAAUAAACACAGAAGAGCAAGAGCAUAAGCAACAAUGAAUCACAGAAACUGAGAGUUGGAGUGCUGCAUAUUGCAGAGGUUCAGAGUUUCCAAAAACUGUUAUAUGAGUGAUGAGGUACAGAUGCGUAAGUCAUGCAUGCAGAGAGGAGUUCAUUUGUAUUGCGAAGCCUGCACUGUAUCCACAUGUAGCUGAAUAAACUGAACUGAACAGAGA